rnacentral:rRNA from 1 species
CCUACGGGCGGCAGCAGUGAGGAAUAUUGGUCAAUGGGCGCUAGCCUGAACCAGCCAAGUCGCGUGAAGGAUGACUGCCCUAUGGGUUGUAAACUUCUUUUAUAUGGGAAUAAAGUGCAGUAUGUAUACUGCUUUGCAUGUACCUUAUGACUAAGCAUCGGCUAACUCCGUGCCAGCAGCCGCGGUAAUACGGAGGAUCCGAGCGUUAUCCGGAUUUAUUGGGUGUAAAGGGUGCGUAGGAGGGUUGUUAAGUCAAUUGUGAAAUGUUGCGGCUCAACCGUAAAAUUGCAGUUGAUACUGGCAUCCUUGAGUACAGGAGAGGUAGGCGGAAUGCGUGGUGUAGCGGUGAAAUGCGUAGAUAUCACGAAGAACUCCGAUUGCGAAGGCAGCUUGCUGGACUAUAACUGACGCUGAUGCUCGAAAGCGUGGGUAUCAAACAGGAUUAGAUACCCCGGUAGUC